AGAUAUUUGCUUAGAAACAAACACGUGCCAGAUCGAUAUGUGUGUGUAACUGUUACUAUAGUAUUAGCCUGCACUCAAUUACUAGGGGGUCCAUUAAUUAAAUUUCUUUAACACGUACUACCAAACGUACAUGACAUCUGGCCAACUGUGAGAGGUCUAUUGCCACAGCUGGCUUCAUUCCCAUACUAUAUGCUAAACAGCUAAAAGGAGACCAAAAUGACAAUCAAUAGAACUUAUGUGGCUAGCUGAGGUAACCCAUCCUUUUCAAACUUGUGAAUAUUAUGCUUCCACCUUUAAUUAUAUCGCCCUUUAGUUCUGCAGUGGUCACCAUCUUAAUCUUAUCCAGUAUAAUUAGUGUUACAACUAAGUUGGUGUAUUAUGAUUUUUUUAUGAAGUUUUAUUUUUUAUGCAGGUGAAAGUAUCUGAACUUGAAGGCAAGGUGAUCGGCAUUUACUUUUCGGCAAACUGGUAUCCUCCAUGCCGAAGCUUCAACCACCUUUUGAUCGAUACUUAUGAGCAACUUAAGAGUUGUAGUUCGGAAUUUGAGAUUGUAUUUGUGUCGUCUGAUGAAGAUUUGGAUGCCUUCAAUACUUUUCACGCAGGCAUGCCAUGGUUAGCCAUUCCAUAUUCUGAUUUGGAGGCAAAGAAAGAGUUGAACCGAAGGUUUGAUGUGGAAGGCAUUCCUUGUUUGGUUAUCUUGCAACCGAGCAACGACAAAGGUGACAAUAUCGCGGCAUUCAACGAUGGAGUUGAACUAAUUUAUCGUUAUGGGGUUCAAGCUUUCCCCUUCACUAAAGAAAGAUUGGAGGAACUGCAAGAAGAGGAAAGAAAAAAACAAGAGAGCCAGACGGUAGCUAGUUUGCUUGUAAGUCAUGAUAGAGAUUUUCUCUUGUCUCAUGCAAACAAUAAGAAGGUGCGCACAUUCAAUAACUCUUCAGUCUUCACUAGCUAUGCUAUUUCUUAUUAGAAGUUCCCUUAUAUAAUGAUACCCAGUCUUGCAGUCUAGUGAAUACCUCCUUACUUGGUAAUAAAAGGUUGAUAGUUUGAUAUCAGUUAAGAUGGCCUAUAUGAGAAUGUGAGUUUAUGUACAAAUAUUCUGCAUGUUUGUUACAUUUGUCCCAUGCACAUGUCUCGCCCAUUGUAUACAUUUCAAGGCUUCAUGCAAUUGAUUCUAUUUCAAUUUAAGUUCAUUUAACGACUACCAUUUGGAGACGCAGUAUAGCUUUCCAUAUGAUAUAAUGUUAUGAUAUUCAAUAAUGAUUACUCUUUGUAGGUGCCAGUUGGUUCCUUAGCAGGCAAGACAAUCGGGCUUUACUUCUCAGCCCAAUGGUGCAUUCCAGGUAUGAAGUUCACUCCAAAGCUGAUAUCUAUAUACAAGAAGAUAAGAGAAAUGUUGCAAUCAGAAGUUUCUGAUGAUGUUCAAGACUUUGAAGUUGUUUAUGUGUCAAGUGAUAACAACGAAACUGAAUUUGAGUCAGAAUUUGAUAGUAUGCCAUGGCUAGCAUUGCCUUUUGGAGAUGAUGCUAUCAAAAACCUAGCUAAGUAUUUUGAUGUUCGAGGAAUACCUAGCUUGAUAAUUCUGGGGCCGAAUGGUAAAACUGUGACAAAAAAUGGGAGGAACCUUAUAAAUUUGUACCAACAAAAUGCAUACCCUUUUACUGAGGCUCGAGUGGAAAUGCUUGAGAAAAAAAUGGACGAGGAGGCAAAAAACCUCCCGAAAUCUGAGUUUCAUGCCGGUCACAGGCAUGAGCUCAGCUUAGUUUCACAGGGUUCUGGAGGAGGACCGUUUAUAUGUUGUGAUUGUGAAGAACAAGGGUCUGGUUGGGCCUAUCAGUGCAUCCAAUGUGGAUAUGAAGUCCAUCCCAAAUGUGUCAAGGCAGUGGAACGUGACCCAGGCAGUGAUAGUUAACUAUUUUGGACAUUGCCGGGCUGGACUGUUCUUGGCUUGCUAGGCUGUCUGGCUAUUUGGCCGGAUACUAACAGCUAAAAAAGGCCUGAUAUACCUUUAGUCUAAUCCUGGAACCAGGAUUUGGUGUGAUAUGGUGAGGAUGAAUCUAUAUUUAGCUUUAUUUGUGUCUGCUUAAUUCUUCCCUUCUGCUUUAAAAGUGGAUAACUGAACUGAAUAAUUGUAUAGGGUACUGGAGUGAAUUAAUGAAUUUACUUAUUUGUUUGCAAUCAUGACUGAAGUUACUACUCUAUAAGCUAAGUUUCAUUCACUGUGAUUGCAUAUAUGUGCUUGCUAACCGCCCCCCACCCCCCGUUCUAGGUGAUGUAUUCUGCAAUGAGCAUGAUGAACUGGGGGUAGUAUUUUUUUGAUCUUCUGUUUCAGCGAUCUUUGCAGUUCCUAAGCUAGAUUUGUUUUAGGAGGCACCAGGCUAGAUGAGCAUCGUUAAAUCGUUUGAACAAUAGUUUGAGAUGACUCUUCUCUUUAUAAAAAGCAUCCGCAUUUAUGGAAAUUCUACAUGAUCAAAUUGAUUUGUUCUGUUUAUAAAUUUCUCGUCGGAAUCGAUAGUAUAAUUCUUCGACAGAAUCAUUUGAACCCGUGUACGGGUGUCGGAUGCAGAAGUAAUCAACGAUAUAUUCGAAUGCAUUGUGGUGUAUGCUCGUCACCAAAUAUUGCAAACACCUUGAGCAACCAUUUGAGUGCCAGGCACAGCAACCAUUUGAGUGCCAGAUACAAAUUAAUUAGCGUCAAACCGAGCUUUUGCUCUUGCAGCUAUUUUUAUAAAUCAACAAAUGUCGCAAGUAUGAUUUAGAACUGAACUAGUUCCAAGUUUAUCAAAGACCCGUGCAGUAUUUUCUCCCAACUAUUUCUAAUUUUUUUUCUUUAAACUCGUUCUAAAAAUAUGUCGCUUAACUAGAAGUAGAAGUAGUCGGAACUGAAGUCAGGGUUAGCCUCGACGUGAUGAUCACAUGAGUGUAAACCGUUGGACUAUUUCUGCCCACCGUUUUAAUAAAUUUCGUUGCAAUCUACCAAAAGCGUGUAACAAUAGGUAAGCAAAUACUAGGAAGACAAGAACCAAUAUUAACUUGUCACACAAUCUAAACAAUCAUCCAAAGCUAAGCAAAGCACCUCCUAAAGUAGAAACCGCAAAACUUUCUAAGUAUAGUAUCCAUCACUUGCAUUCCAACAGUUCAUUCCAAUUCUCCACCCUCGUCAACUUGUAAACUAAAUCAAAAACAAAGACUCUGCUGCUUUGUGUUUCUCUUUCAAUGGGAGCUUGUUUCACAAAAGCCUUUUGGUGCUCUGAGUCUCAUGAAAUCCCCAUUUCAUCCUCUUUUGAUUACUCUCCCCCUCACCAACACUAUCCCAUUCCGGUGUCAUUUGAGCCAUUCACUUAUCCAGCUCAAACAUCACCGAGAAUCGGGCCUAUUUUACGCAAGCCUUGCGUGGAUAUAUCAACACUGUAUGUUCUUGAUAAAGAACUGGGGCGUGGUCAGUUUGGAAUAACUUAUCUUUGUACAGAAAAGGCCACCAGUUUGAAGUUUGCAUGUAAAGCGAUUUCUUUAAGGAAGCUUGUGAGUCAGAAAGAUAAGGAUGAUGUGAGGAGGGAGAUUUUGAUUUUACAGCAUAUGACUGGACAGCCUAAUAUAGUUGAGUUCAGAGGGGCUUAUGAGGAUGAUAAGAAUUUGUAUUUGGUGAUGGAGUUGUGUUCUGGAGGUGAAUUGUUUGACAGGAUUAUUGCCAGAGGGAGUUAUAGUGAGAAAGAGGCUGCGACGAUUGCUAGGCAAAUUGUGAAUGUCAUUCAUGCUUGCCAUUUUAUGGGGGUUAUUCAUAGGGACUUGAAGCCUGAGAAUUUCUUGCUGGUUAGUCGCGCUGAGGAUUCUCCGUUAAAGGCUACAGAUUUCGGGCUCUCUGUCUUCAUUGAGGAAGGUUAGCUGGUAUCAUGUUUUGGCUAACUUCAUUUUGUGUGUUUAUUGUUUGCAUUACAAUUGAUCAAGGCUUUUCUGGAUGUUACGGAUAUAAAUUUUUUAUGAUUAAGAUAGUAAUGAGAUCGGUUCAGGCUUGUUGAUGCCAAAGAGUGUUUGAUAAACUAAUUUUAGUAUGUUCUUUCACUGGUAUUCAAAUUGCUUCUCCAAAGUUGCGUUAUGUUUUACAAAUCCCACUGCUAACACCUACGAAAUUUAGUAGUUUUGUGUUUAGAGAUUGUUACUUGACAUCAACAAAGUUUAACAUUACUGUACAGUGGACUGAAUGUAGUGAUUAGUAGAGCUUGUGGUUGAGACGUUGAGUAAUGCUUUCUGAUUGAGAUUCCACUGUGAGUCAAUGACCAAGUCAAUUAAGAAGUGACAAGUCAACUAGGUCAAUGCCACUCUAUCCUUUCUUAUCUCCAAUCUCAAAAGUAGAAAUAUGGAGUGCCAAGAAGAAUAAUUAGUCUCCAAUAGUAAUGUGAAGACUGAAGCAGACCUUCAACAUGACAGUACAUUGAGUGAAUGAACCAGAAUAUUACAUAGAUGCCUUGUGAUGGUAAAAUAUAUAAUAAUUUCUCUCCAUGUGAACUCAUGUAUUAAAAUAUUUUGUGGAAUGAAGUUGAAUAUUACAAAAAUUUCAAAUUUUUUUAAAAGUGACAUGAUAAUAGAGAGGGCUACUUGAUUUUGAUGAAUGUGCUAUCCUGUAAAAAGGUACCAAUUGUGUUAGAACUUAUAAGGUUUUAACCAACUUCACCUUCACCCUCAUCAAUUAUCUAUGUUACUCAUAAGAAGUGUAACAGAGACUGGCUUAUGGAUUCUGUCGGUAUUGUUUUAAGGAGAUUACUAGCUUUCCAUUCAUAUCUUGGUGACAAGCACCUUCUUGUUAUGUUUUACUUCAGGAAAAUUCUACAGAGAUGUAGUCGGAAGUGCUUACUAUGUAGCCCCGGAGGUUCUAAGAAGGAAAUAUGGGAAGGAGAUAGACGUGUGGAGUGCUGGAGUCAUUUUAUACAUUCUUUUAAGUGGAGUACCUCCUUUCUGGGCAGGUAAAAUAAAAUCCGCAUUAUUUCCUGCUUCUUUAAUUUGUUGACAAAAUAGUUCUUCAAUUCCAAAAUUAGUAAUUUGAAUUAACUUGCAUCUUUGUAUCAUCAAGUCUUCAAGGCUAAUUACUCAAGUAAUAUUCACAUUGACCUAUUAUUAUUUUAUAUCUCAUGUACUGUAUGAGUUUUAUAUAUUUAAACUCUACUGUAUAUGUUGACUAAUGAUCAGUAAAGAAUAUAAUCUUCCUGUAAUUUCCUAUAGUUUCAUAUAAUUAAUAUUCUUUGAUUAUCUUUUGUCCUGCACAUAGGUAUUAGCCUUCGAGCUUAUAGUUUCUGUUGUUUAUGUGUUACUCAGAAACUGAGAAAGGCAUAUUCAGCGCAAUUUUGCAAGGCCAUGUUGAUUUUGAGAGCUCUCCUUGGCCAUCUAUAUCUUCCGGGGCCAAGGAUCUUAUUAAGAAAAUGUUGACGAUGGAUCCAAAAUUGAGGAUAUCAGCUGCACAGGCGCUAGGUAAGUAAAAAAGACACAUGUCGCUGAACAACCUUUGUCUAUGCUGCUAAUUUGUUGAAACGACUUAAUUUGUUGUGUUAAAAUUUUUCAUGAAAUAGAACAUCCAUGGCUCAAGGAAGACGGUGAAGCAUCAAGCAAACCUAUUGAUAGUGCUGUAUUAAUCAGAUUAAAGCAGUUCAGAGCGAUGAACAAGCUGAAAAAGCUCGCUCUCAUGGUAUGUUUCUCUUCUUUUUCCACUUCAGCCACAUUUUGAGGGAUUGGUAGCUUUACAAUGAAAAUAAAUAGUCUAUUCUAUUUCUCUUGCUGUAUCAAAUUGUUGGAUUUCUUGAAGGUUAUUGCGGAGAACCUUUCAGAAGAAGAAAUCAAGGGCUUAAAACAGAUGUUCAAUAAUAUGGACACAGAUGGAAGUGGUACAAUCACUUAUGAGGAACUUAAAACCGGACUAUCUAAGCUGGGGUCAAAGCUGAGCGAGGCAGAAAUACAACAGCUGAUGGAAGCUGUAAGUCGCUUCUCUUUCAUUCUUUUUUUCAAAUUAGAAUUUUACCAAGACAACAAAUUUGAAUCCUGCACAAGUGCUCGUUUACUAAAGGCUUUCUCUACUAUCAGGCUGAUGUUGAUAACAAUGGGACUAUCGACUAUAUUGAAUUUGUUACUGCUACAAUGCAUCGGCAUAGGCUUGACAAGGAUGAAAAUUUGCACAAGGCAUUUCAGUAUUUUGAUAAGGAUAACAGUGGGUUAGUUUUUUUUUUUUUUUUUUUUUGCUAAAUAACAGUGGGUUAGUUUUCAUUUAUAUCGCUAACAACUUCAGAUUAAAACAAAAAAGAAAACAAUUUAGAAAUACCAUAUACUUACUAAUGUACAUGAACAGGUUUAUUACAAGAGAUGAGUUGAGACAUGCUAUGACUGAAUAUGGCAUGGGGGAUGAUGCUACGAUAGACGAAGUCCUCAACGACGUUGAUACUGAUAAGGUUUCUCGAUCUUAUAUCUUUUACAGAGGCCCUUCUUAGCAUAUUACCACAUUAUUACUAAAGCUUUGUGAUGCUUGUAUCCUGUUGUGCAGGAUGGGAGAAUCAACUAUGAGGAGUUUGAGACGAUGAUGAGGAAGGGCACACUUGAUCAUAAUGUACAAAAAAAAGAAUUGUAGUUAAUUUUCCCAAGUCUUCCCAGGAUUUUAAUCAACGUUUGAUGUGUUUUAUCUUGUCAAUCCUGUACAGAGUAAUAGUAAUAUGUUUAUUUGCACUGUACAGCUCCUGUAAUAACACUUCUUGCGCCUCUUUACUGAAGAGCCCACGUCUACUGGGUCACAGAAUUCUGAAAACAUAUUUCAUUUACCAAUCCUAUGAAAAUGUUCACCAGACUGUAAUGUGUUUUGAGAAGAAAAACACCUUUUCUUUUACCAGUGCAAUUACGAUUAAAUUCCAUUAAUCAUGUAAUCCAACAUGAUCUGAAAUUAUAAAAUGAGAAUCGGAUCAAAUCGAUAAAUAUAUGUAUAAUGAUUUGUUGGAUGUCGGUUUAUCAGUGAACAAUCUCAACGAUUAUCUUAUAUAUUUGGCAAUAUUAUUAGUUUAUCACUUCAUCUCAUUCACAUGAAUUGGAAUCUUGAAAAAUUAUUAUUUAGUUGAUAUUAUUUAUUAAAUAUUCUUACCAAGAUUGUAACGGUAAGAAAGAAAAAUAAAAGUCAAUUAUAAACAUUCUCAAAAAAAAAAAAAAGUCAAUUAUAAAAUUAAAUAAUCGAAAAUUCCAAUCGAAAUAGAAGCGGUCUAUAAGCUCAUAAAAGUGGGUCCCGAGAUGUUAUGUGGAUGCUCUAUUAAAACCAGUUCCCCCACUUCUGUAAUAACCUCAAACAACACCUUCAAGAAAAACCUCAAACAAAUUAGGGUUUUUUCCUGAACGAGAAAACAAUGGCCGACGAAGAAUUUGAGAUGGACGGAGGGUUCGUUUCUUUCUCCUUUUUCGCAAUACUAUACUCUUCAAUUUUAUUUGCCAACAUAUUUUAACACUAUUUGGAUUAGGGCUUAAGUUUGAUAUUUUUGUUUGUUGAAAAUCUCAUUGGUACUUGAAUGUGUACAAUUGAAUUAGUUUUGCUAUGUUGUAUUUAACAUGAUGAGUAAAAAGUUUAUGCAUGAUGAUUGCUUUAUAUGCGUUGAACUUUAUGUUCUUGGUUGAAAAGAUUUGAAUGAGGUAGGAAUGGAAUUUGAAAUUGACAGCAGAAUUAAAAGGCUGCAGAAAUAAGAUGUAAUAUUAUAAAAUAUGGGAGUCGGAAAAGAGUAGGAGGUAGGAAUGAAUAUUGAAAUUGGUGAUUACUGCGUAAUCGGGUAGUCUUUUGUUCGUAUAAGUCUUGGUUCCAGUUUUUUGAUACGAGGCAUUUUUGUAUUAUUUUGGAUGGAUGCUAACCAAAUCUAAUUGUACUGUGUGUAGAUAUGAGGAUGAGCCCAUGGAACCGGAGCUUGAUGUGAGAAUUUCUGUUAUAUAUAUGUUAAUUAUUGCUUCUGAGGUUUAAGAUAUUUUGCUUUACUUUUAUAAAUUAUACUUGACUGAUUAAUAUGUAGGAAGGGGCAGAGGAGGAAGUUGAUGCAGAUGCAAAUAAAGACGAUGACAUUGGUGAUCCUCUCUUAGCUGACGGUGAAGACAAACAGGGAGCGGAGGAACCAGUGGAGCGGCCUCGGAAAACGUCAAAGUAUAUGACAAAGUAUGAACGCGCAAGAAUCCUAGGGACACGUGCCCUGCAGAUAAGGUUUUAGUUCUUGUAUCUUUUUUUUUUGAAGCUUGUUUUUAUUAAAUUAGCUGUCGAGUAAAUUUUUUUUGUGUUGUUACAUGCUACUCUAUGAACCAGCAUGAAUGCUCCUGUGAUGGUGGAAUUGGAGGGUGAAACUGAUCCACUUGAGGUAAAAUAGUCCCUUCAAUAUCCUCUUCUGUUAAUAUAAAUUUAUCCCUAGUUCCUAAUUAGUCUUGAAUGUCCUACAUCGUUCACUUGUAUUUUCUUGUAAUGGUGUUUGUCUAUGUUUUUGAACUCGGUGUUACUGGAUUCUUAUCAGUUUCCGUAUUUCCAUGCUCUGGUCCUUGUUGAUGUUUUCGAUAUUGGUGUCACUUGAUCUUUAUCCUCUUCAAAAGGUGGCUAGGCAUCUGUUAAAGAGGCAAAGGCCAUCUAAAACAUGAAAAUUAAUAGAUUUUUUCAAUAUUGCUAUUGACACUCCACUCCAUAUAUUCCAAUAUUGUAAUCCACAUAAGUAGUUAUACAGCAUGGUGGAAAUUUUCUAUAUGAUGUUAACUGCCCGGAUCUUUCUUGCAUUAUAUUGUUUUAUGCAAGAGCUGGUUUAAGCUUUUGGUACAUUUACAAGAAUUGUGUUAUAUGCUGCUGAGCUUGUUAGCAUUUUGCAGGAGUUUUUUAAUAUUAAGUUUGCUUUAUGGGAAAAAAACCCUAUCUAUACCAUGUGCCUUUGCCUCGGAAAAAAGUUUUUUUUCCCCUUUGAGGUCAUCCCUCAUUUGGUCCAUUCAAGUUACCUGACUACUUGCUCUACGACAACUAUGUAUAGGUUUUUUUAACUUAUGAAAAGCACAUAUAGAAGUCAAUUUAUAGGACUGAGGAAUUAUGCAUAUCAGACUUGGUAAAAAAAAUCACCUCACAGAUAAAAGGCACUACUGUAUUGAUCCACUCAAUUUCAAUAAUCAGGUCAACUAUGAUUAAUAAUGAAGGUUCUAAAAUCACCUCACAGAUAAAAGGCACUACUUUUAAUGUAGUGAUUCUAAAACAUUGAGACUUUGUGGAAUCUAUAUAAAGGAAACUAAUACUUAAUCACACAUAAUUUCAUAUUAAUAUUCCAAUCAAUGAUUAUAAUAUGUUAAAUAAUUUUUAUAUUACAAAUGCACUUGUAUGUUAAUAUUUGAUAAUGUGUAUGUAUCCAGAUCACUUUUUUUUUUAAAUAACAUAAACAUUAGUGUAGGUGGACUAUGAUAAUCAGUGUGUUGCGGUUGGUAAUAUUCUUUUGAUAUGGUUAAGCCUCGUUACAGAAUGUUUUUUGUUUUAGAUUGCUAUGAAGGAGCUACGACAGAGGAAGAUACCUUUCACCAUAAGACGUUACCUGCCUGAUGGGAGGUAUGGAUACAGAACAAAUUCUUUUUUUUUUUUUUUUUUUUUGACAGAAUAUAGAACAAAUUCUUGCCUGUCCUAACUUACAGACUUUCACUUAAAACCUUUCUUUGCACCGUGUAUUCAGUUAUGAGGACUGGGGAGUUGACGAAUUGAUUGUGGAAGAUUCAUGGAAGAGACAGGUCGGGGGUGAUUAGAGUGGAUAUCUCUCUAUUAUCUGAAAUAGUUCAUGGGCUUUCUGUUACAAGUAGGGACCUUAAUCGCGAUGAUGUAAAGCUUUGACUAUGUCAGUAUUGUAAUCAGCUGUGCAACAAGAAUCUAGACUAUGAGAGGAUAUAUGUUUUUGUGCAUUACAUUGUUACUUUUGAAGUCCCCUUGUGGCCGAGUAGUACUAGUAAGUUAUGUUGCUUUGUAUGCUUCACUUUCAUGGAGAAAUUUGUGGUUGCUGCCAAGUGCUAAUCUAAGACUCUAAGUUGUGUUUUGUUUGAACAUCUAAAUCAAGUAACGCUUUCCCACUUAGGCACCAUUAUAAACACACACCAACACAUAUAAAGAUAUAUUGGAACAGAAAAUUUGAAGAGCCUAAUUCACCGUAUAUUACUCAGUUCAACCAUUCAUGAUUCCAUAUUAACGUUUGCCUGAAAACAUUAUUAUAUUAACUAUUAUAUUAACGAUCGCUUGACAACAUCAUCAAGGUAUAUGACCAGUUAUUGGGGCUGUUUGUUUUCAAGAAUCUGCUUCUGGUUUUUGCUUUUCUUGAACUGUUUGUGUAAAUAAGCAGUACUUUUAAGAAGCUAAGAAUGUUAGCUUCUCUCUCAGAGCUUCUGCUUCUUUUUCAAACAUUUUAUUAACUUAUUUAAUUCUCACUUUUACUCCACUUCUUUAACUUAUUUAAUUCUUCCUUUUACUCCACUUUUUUAAUCAAAGUAAGAAGUCAUUUUUUUUAAGUUAACCCAAACGACCCCAUUGUAUGGCCAUAAAUUGAAAACAACAUAUGUAUUUCCGCGGUUCCUGAUCUACAUUCUUGAACCUUUGUCAAUAAUCUAACACUUGGAAGUUGGAACUAACAAUAGCGCAGGUCUCGUUGGAUACCCAAUAUUAGAUGUUAUAUAAAUAUAAAGAUUACUAAAAACGACGAUAAAGAGUUUCUCCUAGUAAUUCUAAAAAAGUAAUCUGCAUAAACAGCUUAAAGUUGCAGAAUGACAUUCGGUAAAUCGCUUCAAAAGUCCAAGGUUUUGAACUAGUUUUGGCCAAGAUUCUAAACCAGAUUUGCACGUGUGAGGGCGUAUUAUGGUAGUAGAUUCUGAAGUCUUGUGUACCAGGUCCCUCCUAGCAGAUCUCCUGAUUAAGCUAAAGAAAUUCUAUAAUUCUGUCCCUCCUAUCUCACGAUGCCAGUCCAUUUUACGAGGUUCAACCUGAAGACUACAGAUUUAAAUAUCUCGGAGAAGUUGUCUUGUCUUGAAUUUUCUCCACUGUUCCAAGAAAUGAGCCUCUACUGAUUUGUAUUCUAAAAUGUGCUCGAAGUUGAUGUUUAGUCUUGAUUUUUCUUCAUAACUUUCUGAUUCUAUAGAAAAUGUUUCUUUUUCAUCCAAAGUAGCAAGUCAUGCAUUUUAAAGGCAACAGCAUUUUUUAGGUAGGUUGCAUAAGGAGGAAUGACCUAUUCUUUAUAAGCUGCUAGCUGGUUUCAUGAGCAAACCUGAACCGUAUGCCUUAACUUUCUUUAUAAGCUUUUAGUAAGACUGAUUUGCCCGAAAGAGAGCACCUAGACAACAACACACUGGCAUAGGAUAACUAAAACUUUGGUAGUUUACUGACUCUAAUUAAUCAGCAAAACAAUUUCACCCAUAGUAGUGAAAUUAACUCGCAAGACCAUGACACAUAAGAUUUGCAAAGCUGACACAGCCAGAUUUGCAGUAAACCCAGCUCCUAGCUGAUUUCAUAUUUUACCAACAAUCUAACAAAAAGUAUGUUCAGUGCAAAUGGCUUAAUUCCUGAUGUGAUUGCAGGCUCUACUCUAAAUAUGCUUUUCCUAAGGAAGAUGUAGAAGCCUGUGAUUAUCUGGCUUCAGCUCAUCUGCAAGCUGUGCACUUGAGUUUUCCAUGACUUCUGGACCUUCAUAGGCAAAAUUCCAAAUGGAACAGCAUAUAUAUCCUGUUACAAGAUAUAAACAUAUACAAUCGUUUAUGGUCUGUACUCUGUAUAUAUUAACAAAUCUUAUCUGCAGCACUGUGAAAUUUGUGGUAAUGUGUUAUUAAUUACAGAGAAAGUUAACAGAUUGUUUUGACUCCGAAGCACCAUGUCAAGGUUUCUUGUGCUGUCAAAAAAGGUUUCUUUGACUACAAAUAGAACCUCUAUUGGUAGUAAUGUUAUUAAUCACAGAGAAAGGUUUCUUGUAGGUUAAAAAAGUAACUGGUUUAUAAAGGUUGGAUAUAAUGCAGUGUAUAUUAUUUUGAUAUAAUAUCACUACUGAUAACAUAUGAAAUAAUAAUUAUAGGUACUAUACAACUGUACCAGACAUGCACCCUGCUUGUAACAUGUUAAUUGGUUUUUCAAAGUACCUUACAAAAGAUUACGACCUAAAUCUUGUAUUCAUCAACAUGCAUCCACUUAGUAGACGACCACUUGUUCCCCUUAAUCACUGGACAACCACCUGAAAAUUCAAACAAUCAGAAACCCACAUUAACUUUUUCAUAUUUGUGGUAGGAUUUUUUUUUUUUUUUUUUUUUUAAAAAGUUUAUAAGCAUAAGUAUUGUUAUCAAUUGUACCAGCAUAUCAUAAUCUUUGUGGGGGCUUGUGAUGAUCUGAUGGACUUGUGGAUUACCCUGGUUGGACUUGUGGAUUACCCUGGAUUANUGGAUUUUUUUUUUUUUUUUUUUUUGACAAUAUUUGUGGUAGGAUUAGGAUAACAGAAAAUAGUGAACUGCCUUGCAAAUAACUUUUUUUUGCAGCCCUCAUAUAUAGUGGAGCAAAACCAUGUUUUUUACAUAAAUGUCACACCAAACCUGGACAUUCAAAAAAAAAAUUAACAUAGAAAUUGUCAAAGAUUGCGUACCAUGCAAACUUGAAGGAUCCAAUGAGGCAUCAGGCCUCAUGCUCCAGAAAAGCAAAGCAUUGCCCAUUUUCGGUUUCACAGAAAGUCCUCUUUUAGCACAAGCAGACAACUCAUUCCAACCUGGCGAAGAGCUAAAAUUUCCUUUGGCUGCAGGAAAUACUGUUUCACCCCCUUCCUCGACAUCUGACCUACAUUGAUAGUAAAGAAAUAAUAUUAGAGCUGGCAUAGGUUCUUAUAUCGUAUAUGAACUUAAUCAUUAUUAGGUCAUCUUUAAGUGACCAGUACAUGGAUUGUGUUAUGUGUAUGAAAAAUAGGAUUUCUAACCCAUCUAUGAUCCACAGCCUGUAUCUUUACAAGUGGGCUACUACAUGAUGCAUGAGUGUGUGAUUGUCAAACCAACGGUGAAGAUCAGAACAUGUAAUAAACAACAAAGAUCCACACUGCAUUUUUUUGUAUUUGGCUGGCUGGAGAGCCUGCAGAACUACAAAUUGGAGGAAAGUGUACUUCCCUAAAAAUCCAGGAACCAAAAAAUGGAGCAAUAGCCCCCGUUAUUAAUUCUGGCAACAGCCAAUUGUCACCAUACAUCAUUCAUGUCCUUCAUAAUUUCAUCUCAUCCAUGAAUCAACUAUAUAUCCCCAAAGAUAAUUACCCCAUUCCUUCCACAUCAUUAGGCAUGUUUAAACCAACAAUACUCAUGGAUGAAAACUUCUGAACUUAAUGUAUAGUGUGUUCUUAUUUGCAUUAUAACUAGAGUCAUAUUGUUAUUCUUCCUUCUGUGGACAGACAUCAUAGCUUCUGUUGAGUUUUGAGAUGCAAUGUAAAGGCGUCUUGAUUCUGUUCUAUGCCACGUCAUUUCCCCCCAUUUCCUCGUCCUUACUCCCAUAUACAGUUCAUUAUAUAUUAUUGAUAUCUAUAUUACAGGCUAAAAUUUGAUGGAUGGAAUAGAUAUCAAGCUAAUACUUCAUAUACAAAGUGAGCAUUGUCAAUUUUGCUAAUGACUAAUUGAAGUCCAGAUAUAAAUCAACAAUAUAGCAUCUCUUGGGUUAUCAGAACAUGUACCUGUAUACAAAUCCUGUCAAUAACCCAUAAACCCAACCCGAUAACCAAACCCAUCAAUAAUCCAUAUCUUCACCCAAUAAAACCAUGAGCAGAUGUACGAGGUGUAAGGUUACCCAAAAUAUUGACAGCUUUGCAUUAUAUACUGAGCAAUACAUAGUAAUGCGAUGCAAUAAAUUGACUACAUAGUACAGCCAAUAAAGAGGGACCACUUACAGAUACAUGAGCACAGUAGCUAUCCUCUGACCACCAUUUUUAGUGUUGUACUCGUCAAGAAAGUAGUCAUAGUGAGGUUCGUACUUCUGUCCUACUUCAUAGUGGAGAACUUGUAGUCCUUCUCCAUGAUCUGUAAAUUUCAAGGAGCUGGUUUAGGCAUAUUAUUAAGCUCACCAUCAAGAUUAACUUAACUGAUGCAAGUCGCUUUUUCACAAAUUACUAUUGUCUGAAGAUCAGAAGAAAUGUUUAUUUUGUAACUAACACCAAAAAACAGAACAUACAAGUAAACAUUGCUCUGAAAUCUCCCCACCGCCCAAACAUUCCGUGGCAGUGGGUAUAAUGUGUUAGUCAGUUCUUCCAUAUUACAACUGGCCACUUCACCUUGCCAUACUCUAGUUCAAAAUGAUAAAAAAGGCCUCGCAAUAAGUAGUAUACAGAAAAGUAAGGGUCAUAAAUGACUUAUUUCUAUGUUACUUUUUGGAAUUUAUGCAAUAAAUGCGGCACAGAGUUAAGAGUAUGCGUUUUAUUGGUUAAAGACACUUUUUUAACUUGUAAAAUGAAUCAAGAAUAAUUAGAAAAUCAAUUAUGUUAACUUAUAUGCCACGUGCCGCAUCAAUGUUCAAAUUCGGAUCCAAAUCCAACUAACCAACACUUAAAUCCGCACCCAUUCCGGACAACCCUACCCAUUGUCAUACUCUUCAAGUAUGCCUUCCUAAUUUUCUGUAUGAAAUUUGAUAUUUUAGAAUAAAAAUGUUUCAACAUUUGAGAAACUAUAAAUAUUAAAUAACAAUCUUCGUCAUUGUUGACUCAUAUAAGCAUAACAUUGUACAUUGAUUACUUAUCAGAAGAUAUUUCGCAUAUAUAGUAUAUAAACUAUAUGUAGUUAACAUUUGAAAAAAUAGAAUUUAAUGAAGGAGUUCCCGAGCGGUAAAAUGGUGCUCGUAAUGCUCGAAGAGUUUUAAAUGCGAUACUUGAAUAAACCCCACAAAGAAGGAAAAAGGGGUCAUUACUUAUAGUUGCGGUGUUAUUUGUUUGAGCCAAUUUAAUGAAAUCGUUGUUUAAACUGUAUUCACUAAUUAGGAAAUGAUGAUAAGUAAAGGUAAACCAAGAAUGAUUUGCAUUUUUAUAUGUGGUUUUUUGUUAAACACCUUCGGAAUACAUUUCAAUAGGAAAAUUUUAUAAUAUUAACACAAUUCCACAAAUAAAAAGCUACAUAUAUUGUGAAAAAAGUAGAUAAACUUAACAUCUUGUAAAAAUUGAUGUAUAGCCAUAGCAACAAUAUAAUUUAAUUAAUAAAUUUUAUUUGGCAACUUUUUAGAUUUUAAGAUACUAAACCAUUUUUAAAUCAUAAGAAAUGAGUAAUAAUUACUUCAUUUUGUUUAAAUUUGCAGUACUACAAUCUAAAUACACAAGCAGUAACAUAUAUGUAGUCACUACUUCAAUAUAAAGGGCGGUAGCCACCCUCACCUUAAGGUGGCUCCAUCAUUGUGUGUAAAUUUUGCGUGCAUGAACAUAUAUAUAUGCAGCCUAAUACUAAAGUCGACACAUUGUGCAAGUAUUACUUUAAAUUCCUUUUCUAAGUGACUUGUUGACGUGUUCUUGUAUUCUUACCGGCGGGAAUGAAAGAAAAAUCUGCUAUUCUUUUCUCUAUGUUGCUAAUUAUCUUGUCUCCGCCCCUCCUUAAAAACAUUCCGGAGCUUGUACGGACCCUGAUAAAAAUUGAACAUUAGGUGAACAAGAGACUUAAAAAAGGAAUCAUAAUUAUUACUUUAUGAUACAAGUGUGAUGCACACCUGCUAUCUUUACUCUUCCCGGUUUUGCUAUCCACAACUGUGGACUUCGCCAUAUGGGGUUUCGCAAGAUUAAUCAAAUACUCACAUUCUUUCUUCGACUGUAAGCAGAAAACAUUAAGCUUCUUCAGUCACAGCCUUAAUACACUCAACAUCAUAUACAUUCCCAACAACAAUCCCAUCUGAUCCCACUACUAUAUCAUUCAAAGCAUCAAUUAAACUAGAUGUAUAUGCAUUUAGCCAGAAACUAACAAUCCCAUCUGAUCCCACUACUAUGUCAUUCAAAGCAUUAAUCAAACUAGAUGUAUACGCAUUUAGCCAGAAACUAACAACAAAGUUCGGGACUUGGAUAAUGUUGUCCUACUAAAACCAUCUUCCCAUACUUGACACUGUAAUACAUACUGAACAAAAAAAAACACUCAGGUUCCCAAUAAAAUAAGCUACCGACUAUUUGAAAUACUAGCUAGCUAUGAAACUGAAAUCGAAUUUCAGUACCAAAAAGUUAUGAUAGAGAAAAGCUCGAGGCUCCCAAGAGAGAAUUUCAGUCCAUUGGUCUUCUCUCGAUUCCGAUACAUCACUGUCAACUCUGCAUCAACAAUCAUCAUCAUCAUCAUCAUCAAACUCAUAUAAAAUAUACAUACACAAAUUAAAAAAAAAACAAACAACAAACAUACAUGUUGGUAUUGUGGUUGAUGAUCUUGCGAUUAAAUUUGAAGUGAUUAGAAAUGGGGUUGGAAUCAACAUCAGCAUCAGAAACAGGAAGAGAGAGGAUACCAAGAGCUAGCAGCAUUAACAGAACAACAGUUAACAUCAGCAACAUAGACAGCACUAAUGCAAUUGUUGAAGAUCUCUUGGCUUGUUGCCUGUAAUUCAGUAUUUUCCCUUUCGCCAUGGGAAUUUAUUAAAUUAAAAAAGCAAACCCUAAUUACACCAGAAAUGAUUUUGAAUUGGGGGAAAUAAAAAUGCGCAGUCAAAAAUGUAUUUGCAGGAAGGAGGGCUCGUUACGGUCAAGAUAUGGAAAAGGAGUAAACACAGGUGUGGAGUCAGCUGUUUCUGUUUACCCUGUUUGUGAGCCCACAGUAAUUGUCAAUCCAACACGGCUUCCCAGCUGAUAUCUCGAUUUAUAUAUGAUUCGAAAAUAUUAUUGUACAUGUUUUAAAAAAAUAUUUUACAACUGGCAAAAAAAAAUAAAUAUUUUACAUAUAAUUUUAUAUCUGUUUUGUAAUCUGGGGAGAGGGUAUUUAAUUUGGAUUUUAAAUGAUUUUUUUCAUUCAUGAAAGUUGGGAGUAUUUAACUCGGAUCAUAAAAAAUUAUAUCAUAAUUUUGGGGGUAUUCGAUUGGAUUUUAAAUUAUACUACGGAAUCUGAUAGUAUUUAAUCAGGAUUUUAAAUUAUGCUUAAGAAUCGAUGAUAUCAAAUUGAUAUUGUUUAUAAUCCAUUAAAAUCUGUUGGUAUUCUGUUGAUUGAUUUUUUUAGACUUCAUAAAAUGAUGGAAUUUGUGAGAUUUUCCAAUAUAUUUUAGGUUUUUUAAAUCUCAUCAAAAUCUAUGAGAUUUUUAAGUAUUGGGCUUAAAUCCUAAAAAAAUUAUAUCAACUCUGCAAAAUUUUAUCAAGAAUCCACAAAAAAUCAAAAUUAGAUACAAUCCAUUAAAAUUUAUAGAUUAAAAAAAAAUUCAUUAAAAUCUCAAUUGAAUACACCCCUGUGAAAUUUUGUAUGUCAUGCUAAAUCGAUUACUAUGGAGGGUCAUGUUCGAGAGAAAACCAUUAGGAAUAGACCCAUGGAACCUUACUUUAUUUCGAGUAUCAGUUAAGGUUCUGCAGAACUUCACAUGCUAAAAAUUUCAAUAUCUAUGUAUUAUGUUUUAAAAUUAUUUUUGAACACAUACAACAAUAAAAAAACAUAAAAAAAAACCCAUGUAUUUAGAUCUAGAUCCUAAAAAUCUAUUUAAAAUAUAGGGUUCUGCAGCAGAACCUCAGUGGUUCUGCGUGACCCUUACUAUGAAUACUAAAUUUCUAAACAGUUUCUUUUUUGGGACGUUUUACUCAAUUAUAUACAUUCUCAAAAUAAUUGAAUAUUAGUUGGUGUCAUCACUUUAAUCAUU
rnacentral:lncRNA from 1 species